rnacentral:rRNA from 1 species
ACGUAGGGUGCGAGCGUUGUCCGGAUUUAUUGGGCGUAAAGAGCUCGUAGGCGGUUUGUCGCGUCGGCCGUGAAAUCUCCACGCUUAACGUGGAGCGUGCGGUCGAUACGGGCAGACUUGAGUUCGGUAGGGGAGACUGGAAUUCCUGGUGUAGCGGUGAAAUGCGCAGAUAUCAGGAGGAACACCGGUGGCGAAGGCGGCAUCCUGGACCAAUACUGACGCUGAGGAGCGAAAGCCAGGGGAGCAAACGGGA